rnacentral:tRNA from 1 species
GCGGGAAUCGAACCCACAACCUUCUGCUUACCGGGCAGGUGCCAUGUCCACUAGGUCU